GGGCAGGCCGAGAGAGCUGGGGCUGUUCAGCCUGGAGAAGCCUGUGAGAUGACCUGAUAGCGGCCUGUCAGUAUCUAAAGGGGAGCUACAGGAAAGAAGGGGACAGACUCUUCAGCAGAGUCUGUGGUGAUAGGAGAAGGAGAAAUGGUUUCAAACUUAAAGAGGGGAGAUUUAGGUUGGGUAUAAAGGAAAAGUCAUUUACCAUGAGGGUGAUGAGGCACUGGCAUAAGUUGCCCAGAGUUGUGGUGAAUGCCCCGUCCCUGGAGGCUUUCAAGGCCAGGCUGGACCAGGCUCUGAACACCUUGAUUUAGCUGUGGAUGUCCCUGCUCACUGCAGGGGAGUUGGGCUAGAUGGCCUUUAAAGGUCCUUUCCAACUCAGAGGACUCUAUGAUUCUAGGUCUGGCUCCUUUCCCUGGCCCUACCACUGAACUGCCAUCUGGCUGUAGUCAAGCUAUGUCACCUUAGCCUGUGCAAAAAUCCCUUUUUUGUCCUUCUAGCACUAACCUGUCCCAGCUCUUAAGUUCAUGGACAAGACUCUUUCCACAAAGAAUUACAUUUAGAAAACAAUAAAAACAAUAGAAGCUUGAUGCAGAGCUUGCGUUGGUUGCCUAAAGGUUUACGUUAACAUAGAUGCAUUUGAAGAAAAAAGGUCAGAAUACACUCUCCUUGCAAGUUCUUCUAACUCAGAAAGGAGCAGACAUCUGUAUGAAACAUAGAAGUUCUAGAAGGAUGUCAAAAAACAAACCUGAUAAAAGAGAAAAAGCAGCCCAGAAAAAGAGACCUUCAGGAAGAGGAUAGCUCAAACUCACUGACUUAAUAGAAAAGAUACUAAGGGAAAAAAGUUAGGGAGCAAUGGUAAUGAUAGAAGUGUUUGGGAAGAAAAAAGAGUCUAUGAAAAGAGUGUAUGACGUUUUAUCUGUAACUGUUCUGUGAAAUUGUCACUGUUAGAAAGUUUAAAUUGUAUUGCAAAACAUCUUCAGAAAACAAA
rnacentral:lncRNA from 1 species